AUUUUUGGUGGUACUCUUAACCCGGUGAGUUGUCUUGAUUAAUUCGGCUUCUGGGCUGUACGCAUUCUCCAAAUUCUCUGUAUCCUCGCCUUUUCAAUUAGUAUGUCAUCAAGUUUGGAGGAAUUUAAAUUUAUAUAUUGUUUUUUGGAGUUUGGACAUUCAAUCUUGGCUAUACAAUGAUGUCUGUGUUGGUGUUUCCAACAAGAUGUUUGCGUGAUACUUUACAUAAAAGUUUGAGUUUUGU
rnacentral:misc_RNA from 1 species